rnacentral:lncRNA from 10 species
UCCAGCCCUAGGUUCUCCUGAAUCCCUGCGGUCCCAGCGUCGCUCCGGACGCUGCCAACCUGUUCUCCACCGUCGCUCGACUUCCACCUCUAAGACUCCCACACGGAGUCUUGCUCUGUCGCCCAGGUUGGAAUGCAAUGGCGUGAUCUCACUGACCGAAACCUCCGCCUCUGAGGUUCAAGUGAUUCUCCUGCCUCAGCCUCCUGAGUAGCUGGGAUUACAG